ensembl:snoRNA
AUCUUUUUGUAGUUCAAAGGCGUGAUGAUUGAGUUUCCAUGCUUAUGGGUGAGAUGUGCCUCCCUCACACCUUGUUAUAAUGUGACAUUAUCCAUCUGACC